UACGUAGGGUGCAGGCGUUAAUCGGAAUUACUGGGCGUAAAGCGUGCGCAGGCGGCUUUGCAAGACAGAUGUGAAAUCCCCGGGCUCAACCUGGGAACUGCAUUUGUGACUGCAAGGCUAGAGUACGGCAGAGGGGGAUGGAAUUCCGCGUGUAGCAGUGAAAUGCGUAGAUAUGCGGAGGAACACCGAUGGCGAAGGCAAUCCCCUGGGCCUGUACUGACGCUCAUGCACGAAAGCGUGGGGAGCAAACAGG
rnacentral:rRNA from 1 species